CCUACGGGAGGCAGCAGUGGGGAAUAUUGCACAAUGGGGGAAACCCUGAUGCAGCGACGCCGCGUGAGUGAAGAAGUAAUUCGUUAUGUAAAGCUCUAUCAGCAGGGAAGAAAAUGACGGUACCUGAGUAAGAAGCCCCUGCUAACUACGUGCCAGCAGCCGCGGUCAUACGUAGGGAGCAAGCGUUAUCCGGAUUUACUGGGUGUAAAGGGAGCGUAGACGGCAGUGCAAGUCUGGAGUGAAAGGCGGGGGCUCAACCCCCGGACGGCUCUGGAAACUGUACGGCUGGAGUGCAGGAGAGGUAAGUGGAAUUCCUAGUGUAGCAGUGAAAUGCGUAGAUAUUAGGAAGAACACCAGUGGCGAAGGCGGCUUACUGGAAUGUAACUGACGUUGAGGCUCGAAAGCGUGGGGAGCAAACAGGAUUAGAUACCCCUGUAGUC
rnacentral:rRNA from 1 species